rfam:Pan troglodytes isolate Yerkes chimp pedigree #C0471 (Clint) chromosome 9, whole genome shotgun sequence.
AAAUAAAUUCAAGCUUUUCGAAUUUGUCUAGCAGGCUUUCCAAUUUUUGCCAGAAAGCCCCC